AAUUUUUAAGGUCAGCAGAAGCAAAUGUAAUCUCCAUCAAGAGACAGGGAAAGAUGGCAACAGAGAAUUAUGCCAAAAGGACUGUAACCUAGGCAGGGCUAUAAUCCUCCUUAAAUGGCCAGCAUUAGAACCGUUAGCUGCGUGUGAGAAAGGAGCUAAAGGGUGUGCUACUAAGCAUUUUCUUUUGAAAUGAGGUGGGAAGCUUGAUUGAGUUCCAUUGGCAUCAUCGUGUGCCAUCAGGUACCCUAGAGUGAUACUGUGGGAGUCCUCUCAGAGGUUAAUAGCCGACUCCCUUUCUGUAUGGAUGAAUAUAACUGCUUCUAAUUCCUAAAAGAGGUAAAUCUGAACAAAGUGUCGUGGGUAUUAAUUUUUACUUAGUGGAACAACUCAAAAGCAAGGUCUGUCUUUACCAAAUUAUAGCUGGUACUAAAAGAUGCUCUUGGUUGUUGUUAAAUAUGACAACCACAGCUUUGGAAACCAACCCCUGGAGGUGCUGUAACCCCUGGAAGGCACAGGGUCUGCAUCCCCCCAGAGGUGCUGUGACCCCUGGAAGGUGCAGGGUCUGCAUCCCCCUGGAGGUGCUGUGACCCCUGGAAAGCGCAGGGUCUGCAUCCCCCCAGAGCUGCCGUAACCCCUGGAAGGCGCAGGGUCUGCAUCCCCCCAGAGGUGCUGUGACCCCUGGAAGGUGCAGGGUCUGCAUCCCCCCAGAGGUGCUGUAACCCCUGGAAGGCACAGGGUCUGCAUCCCCCCAGAGGUGCUGUGACCCCUGGAAGGUGCAGGGUCUGCAUCCCCCUGGAGGUGCUGUGACCCCUGGAAGGCGCAGGGUCUGCAUCCCCCCGGAGGUGCUGUGACCCCUGGAAGGUGCAGGGUCUGCAUCCCCCCGGAGGUGCUGUGACCCCUGGAAGGCGCAGGGUCUGCAUCCCCCCAGAGGUGCUGUAACCCCUGGAAGGCGCAGGGUCUGCAUCCCCGGCUGUGGUAUAGAUGAACACUUCAGUUAGCUUACUGAGCUUGAGCCACCGUUCCCUCUCACUGCAGAAGGGAGUUGCCCACUGUGUGGCUGUGGCCUUGGACUUCAUGGAGGGAUUGUAUGUGGAGAGAAUGUUCAUUAAACUAAGGUGCAGAGCCUGUGGUACAUAGGUUCCCAGGGUCAGAGUUGCUUCUGUAAUUCCUUCUGUGAAAUUUGCAUUUUAAAAGAAGGUGUCCUUGCAGCAGGUUUAGGGUUAGUUAUGUGGAUUUGUUUGCAUCGUUUCUGUUAACAACUGUUGAAUGUUAUGUAGUUGAUGUUAGGCAUGAUGUGUGAUGGUAUGACUAAGCUAUCUUUUCACGGUUGCUUCAUUUUCAGAUAUAUACAGAUUUUGGAUUUGUUUUGCUAUGAUGUUAGAUAAUUAUCCUAUCACUUUGAAAUAUUUGAAAUCUGCUUAGUUAUAAUCUUGUUAUGUCAUAUUCUAAUCUUAAAGCGACCAGAACCUGUAUAAAGAUGUUUGUGAUACAAGCAAUUUCAGUUUCCCACUGUUUCUUUAGCCAUUUAUCAUAAACAGCAAGUGAUUCUUCUGUAUAAUGCUGGAAGUUUUUGCCAGUUAAAAAAUGUUGAGAUUGGAAAAAUUCUGUACGUUUUUGUAUCCUGCGCUGCUAUACAGCUACUUGGGAGUGAACUGUGUUUCUUAGUUGGAAAUUCUGCUCGAGUUAGAGAAGCUAAGUACAGAUGUAGCCAUAAUAAAGGGCCUCUGAGCCCCGACCCACACUGUGUCCAUCUUCAGUGAGAAUGGCUGCCACUUUGCAGUUCAUGGAGAGGGGCAGGAGGCACGGCCUUUCAUGCCCACUCCUCGGUGAAUCAGCCUGGAGGUGAACAAGGAUACAGAAGGCAAUAAUAUGACUGAUGGGAUUGCUGAAAGAGAAACUGGUCGCGCUGUAUUAGUGACAUUCUGUGUACAGAGGCUGAGGCGUCAGAAAGCUCUCUCAGUUCCUCAUCCUGAUUCCAAACAAGGAAAGCGAGGAAUUAAAAUGGGAAAUAUUUUGCUUUGUCAUAGAUACAUAUAUGAGGGUAUAUCAAAAAAUUCAUGGAACAGUAGAGUCGAAAGAUAAGUUCAUUCUUAUCUUUUUUGAAACACUUGCAUAGUUUUUUAAAAACUCUUUGAAGAUUCCUCAUACGCAUGGACUUCAAAAUUUUUUGCACCAAAAUAAACAUCUUUUAAUUUCAUUUCCCAUGAGCUUUAUUUAUUUAUUUAUUUAUUUAUUUCCUCAUUUUAUUUGAAAGGCAGAGACAGAGAGCGAGACCGGACAGAGAGGGCAUAGUUCACUCGCCUGGCCAGGGCUGGGCCAGGUGGAAGGAAGAUGGUAUCUCAGAUUUCAACCCAUGUUUCCCACCUGGGUGGCAGGGCAAGUGCUCACACCAUACCUGCUGCCUCCCAGGAAGCACUUCAGCAGGAAGCUGGAAUCAGAAGCAGAGCCAGGACUUGAGCCAGGCACUCCAGCAUGGAGGCAUCUUAACUGCUGUGCCCAAGCCUGGCCCUCUGUGGGCUUGUGAAGUUCCUCGUAUGUUUGUGGGCAGGACUCUGUACUUGACAGGGGUCGUUUACGAGCGUUAGGUUUUCUGUCUUGCUCAGAGUUAAAAAUUUUAAUAUCAGCGGAAAUUGUUGUUGUCAAAUAAAGCGCGGUAGAGUACAGGAUGGUUAAGUCUGCUCUUUCCCUCCAGGAAACCCUAAGUCUGAAAUGUCCUAGGCGUGUUGUUGGGAGACAGAGAGCUCAUUUUCACCAUUUCUGAAGUGAUAAACUUACCUUGCAUUGAAUCAAAGGGAAAGAACACAGUCCACAACUGAACUUGAGUAAUCAGCCGUACCCACUUUUGUUGAUCGGUUAGCAUUGUUUUUUUUUUUUUUUUCAAAGCAGAAAUUUUUGUUAAAAUCUUUUUUAGUAGCGCUAUGUAAAGUCCAUAGGUACUAAAAUCAGUUGAUGUAAGAUUUUCUUUGUUGCAGAAUUAAAAAUUCCUUGGUAGGUUGUUCUUUGGCUAAUAAAAAUGAUUUUCAUAGUUGGACACUAAGAUUUUGUGCUCUGUUGGUAUUUGUAAUGGUCCCUCUUUUUGCAUAUUUCUUAUGCGUACAGUUAGGAACUUAUC